UCUUCCCCUAGAGGUGUUUCAGUGUGUGGCUGCUGUGUCACAUGUGCGUCAGUAGGUGGCAGAGAGGAGAGAGGCUAUGGCUAUGCUCAGUGUUCUGACCUAUGAACAUAUGAAUGAUUCAAAGCCCAAUAUU